rnacentral:rRNA from 1 species
GGGUUGUGAGGUUAAGCGACUAAGCGUACACGGUGGAUGCCCUGGCAGUCAGAGGCGAUGAAGGGCGUGCUAAUCUGCGAUAAGCGCCGGUAAGGUGAUAUGAACCGUUAUAACCGGCGAUACCCGAAUGGGGAAACCCAGUGUGACUCGUCACACUAUCAUUAACUGAAUCCAUAGGUUAAUGAGGCGAACCGGGGGAACUGAAACAUCUAAGUACCCCGAGGAAAAGAAAUCAACCGAGAUUCCCCCAGUAGCGGCGAGCGAACGGGGAGGAGCCCAGAGCCUGAAUCAGCAUGUGUGUUAGUGGAAGCGUCUGGAAAGGCGCGCGAUACAGGGUGACAGCCCCGUACACAAAAGCGCAUGUGCUGUGAGCUCGAUGAGUAGGGCGGGACACGUGGUAUCCUGUCUGAAUAUGGGGGGACCAUCCUCCAAGGCUAAAUACUCCUGACUGACCGAUAGUGAACCAGUACCGUGAGGGAAAGGCGAAAAGAACCCCGGCGAGGGGAGUGAAAAAGAACCUGAAACCGUGUACGUACAAGCAGUGGGAGCACCCUUCGGGGUGUGACUGCGUACCUUUUGUAUAAUGGGUCAGCGACUUAUAUUCUGUAGCAAGGUUAACCGUAUAGGGGAGCCGGAGGGAAACCGAGUCUUAAUUGGGCGUUAAGUUGCAGGGUAUAGACCCGAAACCCGGUGAUCUAGCCAUGGGCAGGUUGAAGGUUGGGUAACACUAACUGGAGGACCGAACCGACUAAUGUUGAAAAAUUAGCGGAUGACCUGUGGCUGGGGGUGAAAGGCCAAUCAAACCGGGAGAUAGCUGGUUCUCCCCGAAAGCUAUUUAGGUAGCGCCUCGUGAAUUCAUCUCCGGGGGUAGAGCACUGUUUCGGCUAGGGGGCCAUCCCGGCUUACCAACCCGAUGCAAACUGCGAAUACCGGAGAAUGUUAUCACGGGAGACACACGGCGGGUGCUAACGUCCGUCGUGAAGAGGGAAACAACCCAGACCGCCAGCUAAGGUCCCAAAGUCAUGGUUAAGUGGGAAACGAUGUGGGAAGGCCCAGACAGCCAGGAUGUUGGCUUAGAAGCAGCCAUCAUUUAAAGAAAGCGUAAUAGCUCACUGGUCGAGUCGGCCUGCGCGGAAGAUGUAACGGGGCUAAACCAUGCACCGAAGCUGCGGCAGCGAACGUAUCACCCAAGACAACUUUACGGAGUUGACGAUUGACGGAGCGAAGCGACGUCAAAGCGUUCAUUAAAGUCGAGUUGGCUUAGGGAUACGUUCGUUGGGUAGGGGAGCGUUCUGUAAGCCUGUGAAGGUGUGUCGUGAGGCAUGCUGGAGGUAUCAGAAGUGCGAAUGCUGACAUAAGUAACGAUAAAGCGGGUGAAAAGCCCGCUCGCCGGAAGACCAAGGGUUCCUGUCCAACGUUAAUCGGGGCAGGGUGAGUCGACCCCUAAGGCGAGGCCGAAAGGCGUAGUCGAUGGGAAACGGGUUAAUAUUCCCGUACUUGGUGUUACUGCGAAGGGGGGACGGAGAAGGCUAUGUUGGCCGGGCGACGGUUGUCCCGGUUUAAGCGUGUAGGUGUGUGUUCCAGGUAAAUCCGGUUCACUUUAACACUGAGGCGUGACGACGAGGCACUACGGUGCUGAAGCAACAAAUGCCCUGCUUCCAGGAAAAGCCUCUAAGCAUCAGGUAACACGAAAUCGUACCCCAAACCGACACAGGUGGUCAGGUAGAGAAUACCAAGGCGCUUGAGAGAACUCGGGUGAAGGAACUAGGCAAAAUGGUGCCGUAACUUCGGGAGAAGGCACGCUGACACGUAGGUGAAGUGAUUUACUCAUGGAGCUGAAGUCAGUCGAAGAUACCAGCUGGCUGCAACUGUUUAUUAAAAACACAGCACUGUGCAAACACGAAAGUGGACGUAUACGGUGUGACGCCUGCCCGGUGCCGGAAGGUUAAUUGAUGGGGUCAGCGUAAGCGAAGCUCCUGAUCGAAGCCCCGGUAAACGGCGGCCGUAACUAUAACGGUCCUAAGGUAGCGAAAUUCCUUGUCGGGUAAGUUCCGACCUGCACGAAUGGCGUAAUGAUGGCCAGGCUGUCUCCACCCGAGACUCAGUGAAAUUGAACUCGCUGUGAAGAUGCAGUGUACCCGCGGCAAGACGGAAAGACCCCGUGAACCUUUACUAUAGCUUGACACUGAACAUUGAGCCUUGAUGUGUAGGAUAGGUGGGAGGCUUUGAAGUGUGGACGCCAGUCUGCAUGGAGCCGACCUUGAAAUACCACCCUUUAAUGUUUGAUGUUCUAACGUGGACCCGUAAUCCGGGUUGCGGACAGUGUCUGGUGGGUAGUUUGACUGGGGCGGUCUCCUCCUAAAGAGUAACGGAGGAGCACGAAGGUUGGCUAAUCCUGGUCGGACAUCAGGAGGUUAGUGCAAUGGCAUAAGCCAGCUUGACUGCGAGCGUGACGGCGCGAGCAGGUGCGAAAGCAGGUCAUAGUGAUCCGGUGGUUCUGAAUGGAAGGGCCAUCGCUCAACGGAUAAAAGGUACUCCGGGGAUAACAGGCUGAUACCGCCCAAGAGUUCAUAUCGACGGCGGUGUUUGGCACCUCGAUGUCGGCUCAUCACAUCCUGGGGCUGAAGUAGGUCCCAAGGGUAUGGCUGUUCGCCAUUUAAAGUGGUACGCGAGCUGGGUUUAGAACGUCGUGAGACAGUUCGGUCCCUAUCUGCCGUGGGCGCUGGAGAACUGAGGGGGGCUGCUCCUAGUACGAGAGGACCGGAGUGGACGCAUCACUGGUGUUCGGGUUGUCAUGCCAAUGGCACUGCCCGGUAGCUAAAUGCGGAAGAGAUAAGUGCUGAAAGCAUCUAAGCACGAAACUUGCCCCGAGAUGAGUUCUCCCUGAGACUUAGAGUCUCCUGAAGGAACGUUGAAGACGACGACGUUGAUAGGCCGGGUGUGUAAGCGCAGCGAUGCGUUGAGCUAACCGGUACUAAUGAACCGUGAGGCUUAACCUUACAACGCCGAAG